rnacentral:rRNA from 1 species
GUGGGGAAUAUUGCGACAAUGGGCGAAAGCCUGAUCCAGCCAUGCCGCGUGUGUGAAGAAGGUCUUCGGNUUGUAAAGCACUUUCAGUUGGGAGGAAGGGCAGUAGGUUAAUACUUUGCUGUUUUGACGUUACCGACAGAAUAAGCACCGGCUAACUCCGUGCCAGCAGCCGCGGUAAUACGGAGGGUGCAAGCGUUAAUCGGAAUUACUGGGCGUAAAGCGCGCGUAGGUGGUUCGUUAAGUCGGAUGUGAAAUCCCCGGGCUCAACCUGGGAACUGCAUUCAAAACUGGCGAGCUAGAGUAUGGUAGAGGGGGGUGGAAUUUCCGGUGUAGCGGUGAAAUGCGUAGAUAUCGGAAGGAACACCGGUGGCGAAGGCG